rnacentral:rRNA from 1 species
CUUGCUAGUAGGCGACGAGUGGCGGACGGGUGAGUAACGCGUAGGAAUCUACCUAGUAGUGGGGGAUAGCCAAGGGAAACUUUGGGUAAUACCGCAUACGAUCUAAGGAUGAAAGGGGGCCUCUCUUUGAAGCUCUCGCUAUUAGAUGAGCCUGCGUAAGAUUAGCUUGUUGGUGGGGUAAUGGCUCACCAAGGCGACGAUCUUUAACUGGUCUGAGAGGAUGAUCAGUCACACUGGAACUGAGACACGGUCCAGACUCCUACGGGAGGCAGCAGUCGGGAAUAUUGGACAAUGGGGGAAACCCUGAUCCAGCCAUGCCGCGUGUGUGAAGAAGGCUCUAGGGUUGUAAAGCACUUUUAGUAGGGAGGAAGGCUCGAUGGUUAAUACCCAUCGGGAUUGACGUUACCUACAGAAAAAGCACCGGCUAAUUUCGUGCCAGCAGCCGCGGUAAUACGAAAGGUGCAAGCGUUAAUCGGAAUUACUGGGCGUAAAGCGCGCGUAGGCGGCUUAGUAAGUUAGAUGUGAAAGCCCCGGGCUCAACCUGGGAACUGCAUCUAAAACUGCUAGGCUAGAGUAUGGUAGAGGAUGGCGGAAUUUCCUGUGUAGCGGUGAAAUGCGUAGAUAUAGGAAGGAACAUCAGUGGCGAAGGCGGCCAUCUGGACCAAUACUGACGCUGAGGUGCGAAAGCGUGGGGAGCAAA